AGAGUUUGAUCCUGGCUCAGGAUGAACGCUCUUUACAGGCUUAACACAUGCAAGUCGAGGGGCAGCAUGAAAGUUUGCUUGCAAACUUUUGAUGGCGACCGGCGCACCGGUGAGUAACACGUAUCCAACCUGCCUCAUACUCGGGGAUAGCCUUUCGAAAGAAAGAUUAAUACCCGAUGUCAUAGUCCUACCGCAUGAUGGGAUUAUUAAAGAAUUUCGGUAUGGGAUGGGGAUGCGUUCCAUUAGUUAGUUGGCGGGGUAACGGCCCACCAAGACAACGAUGGAUAGGGGUUCUGAGAGGAAGGUCCCCCACAUUGGAACUGAGACACGGUCCAAACUCCUACGGGAGGCAGCAGUGAGGAAUAUUGGUCAAUGGACGAGAGUCUGAACCAGCCAAGUAGCGUGAAGGAUGACUGCCCUAUGGGUUGUAAACUUCUUUUAUAUGGGAAUAAAAUGUUCCACGUGUGGGAUUUUGUAUGUACCAUAUGAAUAAGGAUCGGCUAACUCCGUGCCAGCAGCCGCGGUAAUACGGAGGAUCCGAGCGUUAUCCGGAUUUAUUGGGUUUAAAGGGAGCGUAGGUGGAUUGUUAAGUCAGUUGUGAAAGUUUGCGGCUCAACCGUAAAAUUGCAGUUGAAACUGGCAGUCUUGAGUACAGUAGAGGUGGGAGGAAUUCGUGGUGUAGCGGUGAAAUGCUUAGAUAUCACGAAGAACUCCGAUUGCGAAGGCAGCUCACUGGACUGCAACUGACACUGAGGCUCGAAAGUGUGGGUAUCAAACAGGAUUAGAUACCCUGGUAGUCCACACAGUAAACGAUGAAUACUCCCUGUUUGCAAUAUUCCGGAAAGCGGCC
rnacentral:rRNA from 1 species